rnacentral:misc_RNA from 1 species
GUACUGCGGAGAUCAUUAACGUGCCCUUCGAUGCGGUCCGGCUCCGAGAGAUCGGGGAUCGGCCGCCGCACCGAAACCGGCCCCACCCGUGCUUACCUUGACCACGUUGCCUUGGCGGGCCCCGUCAGGCCUAACGGCCUGGCAGCCGGGGUGCCUAACGGCCCCUGGACAGUGCCCGCCGAUGGCCCCAACUGAACUCUGAACCGUAGUGAUUGAAUGUCUGAGUCCCAUUGAAGAAAUAAGCAAAACUUUCAACAACGGAUCUCUUGGUUCCGGCAUCGAUGAAGAACGCAGCGAAAUGCGAUAAGUAAUGUGAAUUGCAGAAUUCCGUGAAUCAUCGAAUCUUUGAACGCACAUUGCGCCCUCUGGUAUUCCGGAGGGCAUGCCUGUUCGAGCGUCAUUUCAACCCCUUCAAGCCCGGCUUGUGUGUUGAGCGGCGGUCCCCCUGUUAUUAACGGGAAGGCCGGCUUCAAAUGCAGUGGCAGCGCCGCUAUAUUAAGGGUGACUGAGCACAUGGGAAACAAUAGUAUCUUCGUGCUUACUCCAAAAGUCCCCGGUGGCCGCUAGCCCAGCGCCAGACCUUUUGGUGUUUAUUUUAACUAGGUUGACCUCGGAUCAGGUAGGGAUACCCGCUGAACUUAAGCAUAUCAAUAAAGCCGG